GAUGAACGCUGGCGGCGUGCCUAAUACAUGCAAGUCGAGCGAACAGACGAGGAGCUUGCUCCUCUGACGUUAGCGGCGGACGGGUGAGUAACACGUGGAUAACCUACCUAUAAGACUGGGAUAACUUCGGGAAACCGGAGCUAAUACCGGAUAAUAUAUCGAACCGCAUGGUUCAAUAGUGAAAGACGGCUUUGCUGUCACUUAUAGAUGGAUCCGCGCCGCAUUAACUAGUUGGUAAGGUAACGGCUUACCAAGGCAACGAUGCGUAGCCGACCUGAGAGGGUGAUCGGCCACACUGGAACUGAGACACGGUCCAGACUCCUACGGGAGGCAGCAGUAGGGAAUCUUCCGCAAUGGGCGAAAGCUUGACGGAGCAACGCCGCGGGAGUGAUGAAGGUCUUCGGAUCGUAAAACUCUGUUAUUAGGGAAGAACAAAUGUGUAAGUAACUAUGCACGUCUUGACGGUACCUAAUCAGAAAGCCACGGCUAACUACGUG
rnacentral:rRNA from 1 species